GGUUGUAUAGUGUAGCGGUUAUCACUCCGGAUUCUGAUUCCGGCAACCCCGGUUUGAUUCCGGGUACGACCU
rnacentral:tRNA from 1 species